UACGAAGGGGGCUAGCGUUGUUCGGAAUUACUGGGCGUAAAGCGCACGUAGGCGGGUUGUUAAGUCAGGGGUGAAAUCCUGGAGCUCAACUCCAGAACUGCCUUUGAUACUGAGAGCUUGAGUCCGGGAGAGGUGAGUGGAACUGCGAGUGUAGAGGUGAAAUUCGUAGAUAUUCGCAAGAACACCAGUGGCGAAGGCGGCUCACUGGCCCGGUACUGACGCUGAGGUGCGAAAGCGUGGGGAGCAAACAGGG
rnacentral:rRNA from 1 species